ensembl:lncRNA
GGGCCAGGAAGAUACCCUGGAGGAGAUCAUGGCAACCCACUCCAGUAUUCUUGCCUGGAGAAUCCCCAUGGACAGAGGAGCCUGGAAGGCUAUAGUCCAUAGGGUCAUAGAGAGUUGGACAUGACCAAAGUGACUUAGCACGCAUGCAGUUCUGUCUCUGCAGCUCUUAACUGUGCCUCUAGACAUCUUUCCUGACUGUUGUUCACCUGGAAGGUGUCCUUGCCAAAUGGGACUACAUUUGCUUUCUACACCUUCUUCCUCUGCCAAACAAGGACGCAGCUGCAAUCAAUAACAGACUGCUUCCAACUUCUGAUGCGAUGCAGGCUUCCAGAUGACAAGGGGCUUCAAAACCAAGCACCAUGAAGAAUAUUUAGAGCCCUUUAGUGGAGGAGAAAGCCUGUGUGCUGCUCAACAAUCAGAGACCUCCUAUCUCUUCCAACUCUUUCUCUGGCUGCAUUCCAGGAUCAUGGCUACACCUGGAGCCAAGGGCAGCUGGGAGAAGCGGCAGAGAACCGCAAACAGGAGCCUAUGCCAUCAGUGGGAUGCUUAGAAAAAUCACCUUGACUGCUGCUUCAGAGGAUCCUAUCCCUUUUGGGAUCUUCCCAACCCAGGGAUCGAACCUGCAUCUCCUGCUUAGCAGGCAGAUACUUUACCACUGAGCCACCUGAUACGCCUGUCCCAUUUGGUCAUUGAGAUCACAGUGCUUACCCAGUGAGUCAGCAGUCCAAAAUUACAAACGGAGUCACAAGAAAGGACGCUCUUCCAACUGCUGGUGAUACCACUGCAACAAAGAGAGACAAAUUCCCUCUGAGAAUUACAUUCUAAUAGGGGAAAACAGACUUUACACCAGACAAAUUAAGCAUAUAGAUCAUGUUAAGUGCUAUGGAAAAAAAAAAAAUCAAUCAAUCAAGAAAGGCAGAUUUGAGGGGCUUCCCUGGUGGUCCAGUGGUUAAGAGUCUGCCUGUCAAUGCAGGGGACACGGGUUCAAUCUGGGAAGAUCCCAUGUGCCAUGGAGCAACCAAGUCCAUGCGCCCCAUCUACUGAGCCUGCGGUUUAGAGCCCCUGCUAUACAAGAGAAGCACUCCACAAUGAGAAGCCUGAGCACCACAAUGAAGAGGAACCCCUGCUCACUACAACUAGAGAAAGCCCACACACAGCAACAAGGACCUAAUGC